rnacentral:tRNA from 1 species
UCCUAAUAUGACAGAUAAAUGUAAUGAACUUAAACCUCAUAAAUAAAGAGUUAUUCUUUUUUUAGGAA